rnacentral:lncRNA from 1 species
AACGCUCGUUGGAUUCUAAUGCAACUUCACCAUAAAGUUAAGUAGCUCACACCAGUUUUAUAGCAGAAUCAGGGCAAAGCCACACAGACUAAGUGCUAAUCGCACCCACAUAAAACAAAUAGAUGAAGAUAGACAUGUUAAUAGUUCCAAAAUUUUCUUUCUAAAUCAUCGCCAAAGAAAUUAUCGAGAAUAACGCCCCUAUUCUGAAUCUAAACAUGAACUAGUGUCCUUAUUUGAAACCAUAUUCAUUGAUAAACAUUAUAGAAAUGAACAACCAAAGGAAGACAUUUCUUGUCCAGUAAAAAAACUCCAAAUCUUUAACGCACAUGGAUUCAUUUUUAACCAAUAAGACACCCUCUUUUUAUAAGAGUAAAUACACUAAUCUUUAUGUUAUAUCCCUAAUUGGUAUCACAUUGCAUUAAUUUUAACGAAAAGUUAAAAUUUUAAAAGUAGUAACAAUUUAAUCAAAAUAAUAAAAUC